GAGACCGGCGCACGGGUGCGUAACGCGUAUGCAAUCUACCUUAUACAGGGGAAUAGCCCAGAGAAAUUUGGAUUAAUGCCCCAUAGCAUUACGACUUGGCAUCAAGAUGUAAUUAAAGUUCCAACGGUAUAAGAUGAGCAUGCGUCCCAUUAGUUAGUUGGUAAGGUAACGGCUUACCAAGACGAUGAUGGGUAGGGGUCCUGAGAGGGAGAUCCCCCACACUGGUACUGAGACACGGACCAGACUCCUACGGGAGGCAGCAGUGAGGAAUAUUGGUCAAUGGUCGCAAGACUGAACCAGCCAUGCCGCGUGCAGGAAGACGGUCCUAUGGAUUGUAAACUGCUUUUAUAC
rnacentral:rRNA from 1 species